rnacentral:rRNA from 1 species
CCUACGGGAGGCUGCAGUGGGGAAUAUUGGACAAUGGGGGGAACCCUGAUCCAGCCAUGCCGCGUGUGUGAAGAAGGCCCUCGGGUUGUAAAGCACUUUCAGUGAGGAAGAACGCCUGGUGGUUAAUACCCAUCAGGAAAGACAUCACUCACAGAAGAAGCACCGGCUAACUCCGUGCCAGCAGCCGCGGUAAUACGGAGGGUGCGAGCGUUAAUCGGAAUUACUGGGCGUAAAGCGCGCGUAGGUGGCUUGAUAAGCCGGUUGUGAAAGCCCCGGGCUCAACCUGGGAACGGCAUCCGGAACUGUCAAGCUAGAGUGCAGGAGAGGAAGGUAGAAUUCCCGGUGUAGCGGUGAAAUGCGUAGAGAUCGGGAGGAAUACCAGUGGCGAAGGCGGCCUUCUGGACUGACACUGCCCCUGAGGUGCGAAAGCGUGGGUAGCAAACAGGAUUAGAUACCCUGGUAGUC